GCCCAGGUGGUGAAAUUGGUAGACACGCCAGCUUCAGGUGCUGGUGAUCGCAAGGUCGUGGAAGUUCGAGUCUUCUCCUGGGCA
rfam:Pseudomonas fluorescens ABAC62 scaffold595_001, whole genome shotgun sequence.